rnacentral:lncRNA from 1 species
GGGAGGGUAAAAAUGCAGAAUGGAUUUCGAAAGAACACCAAUAGAAUAGUUGUACAGAUAGAAAAUAUCACAGAAGGCAAUUGAACGAACUCUUGAAGAAACUUCGGUAAAACGAAAAAUAGCUCACCACCAAGUUUAAAAUCAAUAGGGAUAUAGAAAGAUCACCACCCUAAUGACAAUAAACAAGGAUACAGAACUGAAAGCAAAAGACUCACCACUCAAGGACACAUCCAAGAGAUACAGAGUUCAAAAGAGCACUCCAAGAGAGCUUCUGCCAAUAUUCUCAGUUUUCUAAAAUCUUUUCUAAGCCCUAAACCCUAAAAUAAAUACUAGUGCAUGAAACAACCCUUAAUCUAUAGGAAAUUUCGAAAUUAAG